rnacentral:rRNA from 1 species
CAGUCGCCGCGGUAAUACGGAGGGAGCUAGCGUUGUUCGGAAUUACUGGGCGUAAAGCGCACGUAGGCGGUUAUUCAAGUCAGAGGUGAAAGCCCGGGGCUCAACCCCGGAACUGCCUUUGAAACUAGAUGACUAGAAUCUUGGAGAGGUCAGUGGAAUUCCGAGUGUAGAGGUGAAAUUCGUAGAUAUUCGGAAGAACACCAGUGGCGAAGGCGACUGACUGGACAAGUAUUGACGCUGAGGUGCGAAAGCGUGGGGAGCAAACAGGAUUAGAUACCCGAGUAGUCCCUGUCUCUUAUAC